GUUUCUUUACAGACUCGUUGGUCCGUGACAGGUAUCACUUCUUUUCUUGGAAAUGUUCUCAAAUAUAGCAUGAGAGAAUCACGGUGGCAGUGUGGAUAUAAGACCAAAAAAAGAUGGCAGCAACAGACCACGGUGCACCUCUGCAGUCUGUUUUCCAGUCUCCACAGCCACCUCUUGCCUCCACAGGUC